rnacentral:lncRNA from 1 species
CCCGGGCGGGCGCAGGCACAGCGCGGCGCGGCGGGCUCCUCGGGGUCCCCGCGGGCAGGCACUCCGGCGGCCGCGGCGCGAGGAGCGCGGCGCCGAGCUGCUGGCCGCGCUGCCCUGCUGGCCACCGCGUUGCGCUGCUGUCUCGCCUGGCUGCUGGUGCGGCGCGGGCUACCGCGAGCCCGGAGCCUGCCCGCGCGCCCCCGGAGCCCGCGCCCCCGGCCGAGGCCGCGGACGCCCGCGCCACCCGUCCCUGCGCCGCGGAGUCCGCGGCCGCGCCCGAGGGGCCGGAGGAGCCCGCGCGGCUGGACGAGCCCGCAGUGACGCCGGCGGAGGCAGAGGAGCAGGCCGCCGAGGCCAAACAGGAAGAGGAGCAGGGGCUGGACGGCGAGGAAGGUCCACCCCAGGCAGAGCCUGAGGAAGAAGACGGUGAGUGGGACCCAGGCUCCAGGCCACACAUCGCUGCCCACUCGCUGAGGCCAGCCUUAUCUGGCUGUGGGGGCCGGGCUCGCUGUGGUCCCUUGGGAUUCUCCAGCUGAGGAUUUGAGUGGCUGGGUGAGGGGAGUGGAUGGCGAGUGAGAGGGUGGGGCAGAGGGGCUGAGAAGUCAGGUCCAGUGGGACCCCGAGGAUGCCCAGGCCAGAGCCCACUCCCCUCAACCCCCUGCCUUCCUGCACCAGUCUCCCUGCCCACCUGCUUUGCUCUUCUGGCCCUCACUUUUCCACCUAUAGAAGGUGAGUUGUCUCCAAAUGCAGGGGGCCCAUCACUGACCUAUUUCCCAUGAUGCCUCUUAACUUCCUUCUCAUCCCUGCUUUGUACAUUUCACAUUUCUCUCCAAAUCUCUCUGGCCUGUUUUAUGGAGACUAAAGCCAGUCACAGGGCCAGUCCCCAGGGUUCUGCAGAAUAAGGCCCCAGGAGGGGAAGCACUUGAUUCCCAAGCAGCUCUGGCUAAACUGGCCAGACCUCUGCGGCCAUCAGACUCCAGGAGGCCAGGGAAAGAGAAAGGGAGUGACCGAGAGCACUGAGGAAACGGGCCAAUUGGGCUUGACCAGGCGGAGGGUGGUGUGUUUGCCCUGGGCACCCAUGGGGACCAGCACCCCAGACAGACAGAACCAAACACAGUGUAGGGGUUCUGCUGGAUCUGUCCUGUUUUCUUUCUUUUUCAAAAAAAGAAGCUGAAGCUAAAACAGCAAAAUG